GCCUAAUACAUGCAAGUCGAGCGAGCUGAAUUCAAAGAUCCCUUCGGGGUGAUUUGUUGGACGCUAGCGGCGGAUGGGUGAGUAACACGUGGGCAAUCUGCCCUAAAGACUGGGAUACCACUUGGAAACAGGUGCUAAUACCGGAUAACAACAUGAAUCGCAUGAUUCAAGUUUGAAAGGCGGCGCAAGCUGUCACUUUAGGAUGAGCCCGCGGCGCAUUAGCUAGUUGGUGGGGUAAAGGCCUACCAAGGCAAUGAUGCGUAGCCGAGUUGAGAGACUGAUCGGCCACAUUGGGACUGAGACACGGCCCAAACUCCUACGGGAGGCAGCAGUAGGGAAUCUUCCACAAUGGACGCAAGUCUGAUGGAGCAACGCCGCGUGAGUGAAGAAGGUUUUCGGAUCGUAAAGCUCUGUUGUUGGUGAAGAAGGAUAGAGGCAGUAACUGGUCUUUAUUUGACGGUAAUCAACCAGAAAGUCACGGCUAACUACGUGCCAGCAGCCGCGGUAAUACGUAGGUGGCAAGCGUUGUCCGGAUUUAUUGGGCGUAAAGCGAGCGCAGGCGGA
rnacentral:rRNA from 1 species